AGCGAACGCUGGCGGCAGGCUUAACACAUGCAAGUCGAGCGGGCACCUUCGGUUGUCCGCGGCAGACGGGUGAGUAACACGUGGUAACGUACCCUUCGGUUCGGAAUAACGCUGGGAAACUAGCGCUAAUACCGGAUACGCCCUUAUGGGGAAAGGUUUACUGCCGAAGGAUCGGCCCGCGUCUGAUUAGCUGGUUGGUGGGGUAACGGCCUACCAAGGCGACGAUCAGUAGCUGGUCUGAGAGGAUGAUCAGCCACACUGGGACUGAGACACGGCCCAGACUCCUACGGGAGGGAGCAGUGGGGGAUAUUGGAAAACGGACGGAAGCAUGAACCAGCCAGGGCGGGUGAGUGAUGAAGGCCGUAAGGUAGUAAAGCUCUUUUGUCCGGGACGAUAAUGACGGUACCGGAAGAAUAAGCACCGGCUAACUUCGUG
rnacentral:rRNA from 1 species